GUCUAUCAUGCAAGUCGAGCGGACCGACGGGAGCUUGCUCCCUUAGGUCAGCGGCGGACGGGUGAGUAACACGUGGGUAACCUGCCUGUAAGACUGGGAUAACUCCGGGAAACCGGGGCUAAUACCGGAUGCUUGAUUGAACCGCAUGGUUCAAUCAUAAAAGGUGGCUUUUAGCUACCACUUACAGAUGGACCCGCGGCGCAUUAGCUAGUUGGUGAGGUAACGGCUCACCAAGGCGACGAUGCGUAGCCGACCUGAGAGGGUGAUCGGCCACACUGGGACUGAGACACGGCCCAGACUCCUACGGGAGGCAGCAGUAGGGAAUCUUCCGCAAUGGACGAAAGUCUGACGGAGCAACGCCGCGUGAGUGAUGAAGGUUUUCGGAUCGUAAAACUCUGUUGUUAGGGAAGAACAAGUACCGUUCGAAUAGGGCGGUACCUUGACGGUACCUAACCAGAAAGCCACGGCUAACUACGUGCCAGCAGCCGCGGUAAUACGUAGGUGGCAAGCGUUGUCCGGAAUUAUUGGGCGUAAAGCGCGCGCAGGCGGUUUCUUAAGUCUGAUGUGAAAGCCCCCGGCUCAACCGGGGAGGGUCAUUGGAAACUGGGGAACUUGAGUGCAGAAGAGGAGAGUGGAAUUCCACGUGUAGCGGUGAAAUGCGUAGAGAUGUGGAGGAACACCAGUGGCGAAGGCGACUCUCUGGUCUGUAACUGACGCUGAGGCGCGAAAGCGUGGGGAGCGAACAGGAUUAGAUACCCUGGUAGUCCACGCCGUAAACGAUGAGUGCUAAGUGUUAGAGGGUUUCCGCCCUUUAGUGCUGCAGCAAACGCAUUAAGCACUCCGCCUGGGGAGUACGGUCGCAAGACUGAAACUCAAAGGGAAUUGACGGGGGCCCGCACAAGCGGGGAGCAUGUGGUUUAAUUUCGAAGCAACGCGAAGAAUCCUUACCAGUCUUGAACAUCCUCUGACAACCCUAAGAGAAUAGGGCUUCCCCUUCGGGGGCAGAAGUUGAAAAGUU
rnacentral:rRNA from 1 species